rnacentral:rRNA from 1 species
UACGUAGGGGGCUAGCGUUGUCCGGAUUUAUUGGGCGUAAAGAGCGUGUAGGCGGCCAGGUAGGUCCGUUGUGAAAACUCGAGGCUCAACCUCGAGACGUCGGCGGAAACCCUCUGGCUAGAGUCCGGAAGAGGAGAGUAGAAUUCCUGGUGUAGCGGUGAAAUGCGCAGAUAUCAGGAAGAACACCCGUGGCGAAGGCGGCUCUCUGGGACGGUACUGACGCUGAGACGCGAAAGCGUGGGGAGCAAACAGG